rnacentral:rRNA from 1 species
CCGCACGAGCGCACCCUUGUCUCAUGUUGCCAGCGCGUUAUGGCGGGGACUCGUGAGAGACUGCCGGGGUCAACUCGGAGGAAGGUGGGGAUGACGUCAAGUCAUCAUGCCCCUUAUGUCCGGGGCUUCACACAUGCUACAAUGGCCGGUACAAAGGGCUGCGAUGCCGUGAGGCUUAGCGAAUCCUUUAAAGCCGGUCUCAUUUCGGAUCGGGGUCUGCAACUCGACCCCGUGAAGUCGGAGUCGCUAGUAAUCGCAGAUCAGCAACGCUGCGGUGAAUACGUUCCCGGGCCUUGUACA